ensembl:lncRNA LINC01884 long intergenic non-protein coding RNA 1884
ACAGUAAGAGGAUGCCAUCUAUAAAUCAGAAAGCAGAGUCUCACCAGAUACUGAAUUUGCCAGUGCCCUGAUCAUGGACCCUCCAGCCUUCAGAAUUGCAACAGACACCUGAGCCAUGUACUCCUCCUGAUGGAUCGCAGGAGCAUAAGAUGGUAAGCCGAAACACAGAAUACAUCACAAAGCCCAUCCUUGAAACUAGGACAAUGUCCAUCAGCUACAAGCCCUAUGAUUAAGUCCAUCAAAGGUGAAGUAGAUGGAACUCCAUAUAGACAAAAAUAAAGGUGACAGAGAACUUCUGGGGAGCAGUGCAGAGUGAAAAAAACCAGCACCCAUGACUUCCUCAUGUGGAAUUCUGGGCUGAUGCUCCAUCUGACUCCAGCACUUCUCACAAAACUGGGACAACUAACUGUUUAUCCAACAUCUGCUGGCUAAAUAAAGACAUGAUCUUCACCUUUUGGGAUUGUUAAUUUAAAAUGGUUCCAUAAGAGCAAUGCAAAGACAGAGAUAUUUGGCAGCACUGCAGCUGGUGAUUUAUAUGGCUCUUCACAAGGUGUUAUUUUGGGGUAUCAAGGUAUGGAUGCUUAAAUCAGCUGCAGGAAGUAAGAAAGAAGAAAAAAGGAGUGAUAAAGAUAAAAAAAAAUCAACCUUGGUCCUUCCACCAAGACCCAUUAAUUUCCAUAUCAUCAUCUGCAUAAGAGGGAAGAUUCCUACAUGACCAGGUUACUGCAAGGAUGUGAAUUUUGAAUAUUAAAAUAUUAUACACAAUUGGAAAUAA